CUGUUCCGGGCAGUGGGGAACAGCCGAGAAGGAGGCAGGAAGGGUCCAGCUCUUACGGAGCUCACAUUUGAAUUGAGGAGGCACGAUAAACAACUCGGUAAUGAAAGAAACCAGAUGGUUCUAGAAAGAGCUGCUUUCUACAAAGGCGACAGAACUUGAGGAGACAUUGGCGACUGGCCAGGGAAGGAGUUUCUGACCCGGUGACUGUGCGCUGACCCCUGAGCAAAAAAAUGCAGAGUUGCGGCAAGAGUGUUCCACGCAGAGGCCACAGCAGGAGCGAAGGCCCUGAGGCUGGGAUGAUGCGGGUGUGUGACUGGAACCGAGUGAACCAGGGUGUCCCUGGCCCGGCCGGCUGGAGGGCAGGGUGUCACAGGCCGUCAGCCUUUGAGCUUAACUCUAAGUGCAGACUGGAGCGCUUUUAGGAGUGGGUGGUGUGAUCUGAUUUCCGAAAGCAUCUGUGUCGUUUAUCCACGUGGUGGUUUUGAAGAGGGCCUGUCAGCACCGCCCUGGUUUGCUGGCCUGGGGUCAGGCUGCAGAGCUGCGGGGGGGACUGUGGGCCUGGAAGGGGAGGCGAGGGCUGAGCAUGCAGGAGGAAGGCAGGCAAGAGGGGGCCUGGUUCAAGGCCGUGCACACACCGUGUGGGGAUGGAGCACAGGCUGCAGGGGGCGGAGAGGCCGGGCAGGCGGGAAGACAUGCUGCAGACCGGGCAAGGCACGUGGACGCAGGCCUAAGGACAGUGGGUUUCUGAUGCCACAAUCGGAUGUCGCUGUAGCUGCCACGUGGACGCUGAUUCAAGUGGGCAAGGCCGGGCGCUGGGAGACAAGCUCGGAUUGUGGCCGUAAUCAGGGGAGAGAGGAGGCCGCCGCCGGAGCAGGGGCAGCGGACCGAGAAGCGGGCAGGGCCUGGGAGAGGCUGAGUUAAAGCCGGGCUCGGGCUGGGGGCUGAGAAGCGCGGGGCGAGAGGCGCGUGGGGCUGUCCUGACCUUCGCACAGCGGUGCCCAGACGGAGCGGCCUCCAGGGUGAAGUGAGGCCGCCCCGUCUGGUCCUCUGGUCUCAGGUCAGGGCUCCCAGGCUGCAGCCAGUGUUGCUGGCCUGGCGGGGGGGCGGGGAGGAGGGAGGAGGCCACACCCCAGGAGGCUUUUCUGGAGUGGUUUGCGGCUCACGUGCCCAGGGACUUUGCCCCCAGGGUUUUCCAGCUGCUAAAUGCGGUUCUUUUCCAAGAAUCUUCCUUAGGUCGGCGUCUGACAGCAGAAGGCAACACGGACACCCUUCCUUCCUUCCGUUGUCUUCAAACCCUUCCGUCCAGAGGUGCGGCGGGCCUGCUGGGAGGAGCGGGGAGUUUCUCCAGACAGAGGUGGUGCCCUGGAGCUUGCCUUCCUUUGCUUGGCUGUGUGGUGUAUGUGGUAAGCGCUUAAUAAAUGCUCGUGGAAAUGAAAGGCAUCCUGGAACAAAACGCAUCUGGAGCAUCCAGCACCUUGGGCCUCACCACUCUGGGUACCAGAGGGUGGGUUCUUUCCUUCUCUACUCAGGUUGCUUUGCUGUACUUUUAAGAUCUAUUGAUGGAGGGAAGACACAAGGACGGAAUGUUUUAUCGUCGUUUUUAUUUGAUUCAUCCCAGUACUAACGGUUGUAAACUGUAAAGAGAAGAGAACUGGUCCAUGGCCCUCUAUUUCACCUAGUUCUGGCCGUGCUUGGUGCCUGGCGCAGGGAUGCAGGUAUGGACCCCUGAACGUGAGGUGGAGGUGGGGUGGGCACGGCUCUAGCUUGUGAAUCAGUGGGCCAAGGAUUUGGGGGGAUCUGGCUUCUUUUGGCUUCUCUUCCUGUGCCCCCUUUUCUGCACAAUCGGAAGAUGCUGCAACGCUAGCCGUUGCAGCUCACUCAAGAGCACCAGUUCCAGAUGCCAGUGGGUGGAUGGCCAUGCUUAGACUUCUGGGAUUACUUAGCCUAGAAGUGGGCGAGGUAACGCUAGCCCCACUUGCAGUGUCAUCACGCACUGUCCAGUGGUGUCCCAAAUGUCACCCUUGGAGGCAAGGCACAGGAGGGCCUAGGAAGUGGGACAUCACCCUACUCACUGGAGGCCUUGCCACCAAGACGGGCUCCGUUUCUAACAACCCAUCGAGCUAGUUCAGCGCGUGGGAGCUCGGAGCUCAUCUGUAAAACCGGGAGGUGGCGUUAGAUGCCUCCUGAAGUCCCUCCCUGGGCUGGGCCUCUUCGAGAUCUGCAGUCAGGGCGGUGAAGCCCCCAAAGUGUCUGGCUGGGCACUGGGUGCCGCCCGGCUGCUCCUGGGUCUGCACAGCCC
ensembl:lncRNA